GUCCUAGCUCAGGAUGAACGCUAGCUACAGGCUUAACACAUGCAAGUCGCGGGGCAGCAUGAAGGAUGCUUGCAUCCUUUGAUGGCGACCGGCGCACGGGUGAGUAACGCGUAUCCAACCUGCCUGUUACCACGGCACAGCCCGUCGAAAGGCGGAUUAAUGCCGUAUGUGGUCCUUUGCGGGCAUCUAAUUAGGACUAAAGGUUCGGCGGUAACGGAUGGGGAUGCGUCCGAUUAG
rnacentral:rRNA from 1 species